rnacentral:rRNA from 1 species
GACGAACGCUGGCGGCGUGCUUAACACAUGCAAGUCGAACGGAAAGGCCCUGCUUUUGUGGGGUGCUCGAGUGGCGAACGGGUGAGUAACACGUGAGUAACCUGCCCUUGACUUUGGGAUAACUUCAGGAAACUGGGGCUAAUACCGGAUGGGAGCUCCUGCUGCAUGGUGGGGGUUGGAAAGUUUCGGCGGUUGGGGCUGGACUCGCGGCUUAUCAGCUUGUUGGUGGGGUAGUGGCUUACCAAGGCUUUGACGGGUAGCCGGCCUGAGAGGGUGACCGGCCACAUUGGGACUAAGAUACGGCCCAGACUCCUACGGGAGGCAGCAGGGGGGAAUAUGGCACAAUGGGCGGAAGCCUGAUGCAGCAACGCCGCGUGCGGGAUGACGGCCUUCGGGUGGUAAACCGCUUUCGCCUGUGACGAAGCGUGAGUGACGGUAAUGGGUAAAGAAGCACCGGCUAACUACGUG